GCCUGCAGGAAAACCUGCCUGUGCCUCCUCUCCAAAGCGGCUGUAUUUGGAAUAUGAAAAUCUGGUCUCUGGAGAACGGGAGAAGAAAAACAGAGAAGCCACAUCCCAUGCAAUUUCAGCUGACUGCCAAACUCAUAAAGUUACUGAAACAGGAUGAUGCAGGACUGUAAACCACUCAGGCUGAAGAAGUAGUACAACAACCCCCUCCAGUAACAUGGCUGAGGCGAAAGAAAUGACCAGCGAGCCCGCCCGGUUUGACGAAAGGAAAACAGACCUGGUUUUGGAUUCCACAAAAAAACAGCUGAAGUGAGUGGGAAGCAAGAGCAGAAAGCUUUUCUGAGGAGAUCAUGGUGUCCCAUACAGAGGGCAAGCCAGUCUACACAGGAAGGAAGAAUAACAACUUGUUUAAGGGAAUUUUUCAGCUAUGGUCUUCUAAGUCAUCCUAGAUGUGCCAUUAGUUCCUCCUAGGUCCUCUUUUUCCCCUCCUCUAUGAAACAGGAGCAGUAAAAUAUCUCAUUUCUCCACUCCUCUUUUGUCCAGCCAGCAACUCAGCUCUGGUUCUGAUCUUAGUUAAGACUUGAAGAACUGCUAGAAGAGCAGCACAGUUAUGGGUUUACAGUGGAGCUGAGUUUAACUCAGGCUGCCUAAGAAACUCGGCAAAGCAACCAGAGAAUAAGUGAUCCCUUUUCAUGUUAAUAUUUGCAUUUCUCUUGUUCCCAAGGAACAGCAUGUAGGCAGAGCUAUUUCUGCGGUACCACCCACUCCCCCACUGUGCAAUCGCUCUCCAGGAGAAAGAGGGCAACUUUCUGGAAAUGUCCCCCUAGUCGUUAAUCAGUACAUCUCAGCUGGGCAGAGGCUCUAUUCUGUGCUUCAUCCACAGACACCGCACCUAAAAGAUAAAUUAUAUUUCAGAGGGUAGGGGAUUUUUUUGUUUUUUCCGCAUUUUAACCUUUUGCAAGGGUGUGGAAAGCGAAUAAUCCCAGCCGAGCAUUCCUUACCUAACAAACUUACAGUUGGCUUCUUAAUUAGGAAUUUAAUAAAUGUGACUUAAUUACCUCUUAAUGAGAUUGCUUUAUUAAUGCCCAUGGCCAUAGCCCUUUAGGGCUCUUGAUCUUGUCAGAUCUCAAAAGCUAGUCUGAGUCAACACUUGAAUAAACAGCUGCCAAAAAUACCUUGCGCUACCAGAGGUGGCAUUUGCAUUUCAGUAGAUGAUUCCCCUUCCACGUUGAACUCUGCAUCUUUGCACAAGGCCGAGCAAAGCUUUGCCGUAGGAGAGGUCCUACUCCUGCACCAGUUGCAAAGUGGAGACCUGCCCACUUUUAACACUUUCACAGCAGGCAAAAUGUUAAGCCUACUGGCCAGGCCAUACUCCAGCUGGAGUAAUUAGAGUUCCCUUUACAUAUUUAAAGGGAACUUGAAAUUUCAACAGGAGCCAGUUUUCUCCACUUCUGAAGAGCUGUUGUGCAAUCCUGUCAUAUAUCGUUAAGACCUGUCUACGUGACAAGAGUUUAGGCAUCUCCUUGGGUACCUGGAGUGCCUAUAAAACGCUCCUUGGCCACCCUGCGCCCUCAUUACUAUUACAGAAGCAUGUAUGGACAGCUCUCAUUAAGGCUACCUAAUCAUUUCUAUUCUCAAAUGGCCUUCUUCCGUUGAAAGUAUCUUAGUUCAACUUC